rnacentral:rRNA from 1 species
GAUCGGAGUCUGCAACCCGACUCCGUGAAGCUGGAUUCGCUAGUAAUCGCGCAUCAGCCAUGGCGCGGUGAAUACGUUCCCGGGCCUUGUACACACCGCCCGUCAAGCCAUGGAAGCCGGGAGUGCCUGAAGUACGCGACCGCAAGGAGCGUCCUAAGGUAAAACCGGUGACUGGGGCUAAGUCGUAACAAGGUACC